UACGAAGGGGGCUAGCGUUGCUCGGAAUCACUGGGCGUAAAGCGUGCGCAGGCGGUUCGUUAAGUUCGAUGUGAAAGCCCCGGGCUCAACCUGGGAACUGCAUUGGAAACUGGCGAGCUUGAAUGCGGCAGAGGGGGGUGGAAUUCCGCGUGUAGCAGUGAAAUGCGUAGAGAUGCGGAGGAACACCGAUGGCGAAGGCAGCCCCCUGGGCCGACAUUGACGCUCAGGCACGAAAGCGUGGGGAGCAAACAGG
rnacentral:rRNA from 1 species